rnacentral:rRNA from 1 species
AAUCGUGAUGAUCCCGGGUACCCGCGACAGGACGGAAAGACCCCGUGGAGCUUUACUGUAGCCUGAUAUUGAAAUUCGGCACAGCUUGUACAGGAUAGGUAGGAGCCUUUGAAACGUGAGCGCUAGCUUACGUGGAGGCGCUGGUGGGAUACUACCCUAGCUGUGUUGGCUUUCUAACCCGCACCACUUAUCGUGGUGGGAGACAGUGUCAGGCGGGCAGUUUGACUGGGGCGGUCGCCUCCUAAAAGGUAACGGAGGCGCUCAAAGGUUCCCUCAGAAUGGUUGGAAAUCAUUCAUAGAGUGUAAAGGCAUAAGGGAGCUUGACUGCGAGACCUACAAGUCGAGCAGGGUCGAAAGACGGACUUAGUGAUCCGGUGGUUCCGCAUGGAAGGGCCAUCGCUCAACGGAUAAAAGCUACCCCGGGGAUAAC